rnacentral:rRNA from 1 species
GACGAACGCUGGCGGCGUGCCUAAUACAUGCAAGUUGAGCGCAGAGGGCUGGUACUUGUACCGACUGGGUGAGCAGCGCACGGGUGAGUAACGCGUGGAGAAUCUGCCUUUGAGUGGGGGACAACCUGUGAAAACGAAUUCUAAUACCGCAUAAGCACCUUCAACACAGGUUGUAAGUUUGAAAGAUGCCAUUGCGUCACUCACAGGUGAUCCCGCGUUGUGUUAGCUAGUUGGUGAGGUAAAGGCGCACCAAGGCGAGGAUACGUAGCCGACCUGAGAGGAUGAGUGGCCACACUGAGAGUGUGACACGGCACAAACGCAUACGGGAGGCAGCAGGAGGGAAACGUCGGGCAUGGACGAAAGUCUGAGCGAGAAGCGCGGAGUGAGUGAGGAGGGAUGUCGGAUCGUAAAACACGGUUUGUAGGGAAUAACGUGGGUGAGAGUGGAAAGCUCAGCAAGUGACGGUAACGACUCAGAAAGGGACGGCUAACUACGUG